GAUGAACGCUAGCGGCAGGCUUAAUACAUGCAAGUCGAGGGGCAGCACGGGUAGCAAUAUCUGGUGGCGACCGGCAAACGGGUGCGGAACACGUACACAACCUUCCUUCGAGCGGGGAAUAGCCCAGGGAAACUUGGAUUAAUACCCCAUAGUAUAGAUGAGUGGCAUCACUUAUUUAUUAAAGAUUUAUCACUUGAAGAUGGGUGUGCGUAUGAUUAGGUAGUUGGCGGGGUAACGGCCCACCAAGCCAACGAUCAUUAACUGGUGUGAGAGCACGACCAGUCACACGGGCACUGAGACACGGGCCCGACUCCUACGGGAGGCAGCAGUAAGGAAUAUUGGUCAAUGGACGCAAGUCUGAACCAGCCAUGCCGCGUGGAGGAUGAAGGCCCUCUGGGUUGUAAACUUCUUUUAUCUGGGAAGAAAUGCAUUUUUUCUAAAGUGUUUGACGGUACCAGAGGAAUAAGCACCGGCUAACUCCGUGCCAGCCGCCGCCGUAAAAC
rnacentral:rRNA from 1 species